GCCUCAGUCGCGGAAUUGGUAGACGCAGGGGACUGGCACUCCCCGGGAACGUUGCAGUCAGAAGCCGCAUGCCGUGCGGGUUCGACUCCCGCCUAGGGCACCA
rnacentral:tRNA from 1 species